rnacentral:rRNA from 1 species
GACGAACGCUGGCGGCGUGCCUAAUACAUGCAAGUAGAACGCUGAAGAGAGGAGCUUGCUCUUCUUGGAUGAGUUGCGAACGGGUGAGUAACGCGUAGGUAACCUGCCUUGUAGCGGGGGAUAACUAUUGGAAACGAUAGCUAAUACCGCAGAACAAUGGAUGACCCAUGUCAUUUAUUUGAAAGGGGCAAAUGCUCCACUACAAGAUGGACCUGCGUUGUAUUAGCUAGUAGGUGAGGUAACGGCUCACCUAGGCGACGAUACAUAGCCGACCUGAGAGGGUGAUCGGCCACACUGGGACUGAGACACGGCCCAGACUCCUACGGGAGGCAGCAGUAGGGAAUCUUCGGCAAUGGGGGCAACCCUGACCGAGCAACGCCGCGUGAGUGAAGAAGGUUUUCGGAUCGUAAAGCUCUGUUGUAAGUCAAGAACGAGUGUGAGAGUGGAAAGUUCACACUGUGACGGUAGCUUACCAGAAAGGGACGGCUAACUACGUG